rnacentral:rRNA from 1 species
UACAGAGGGUGCAAGCGUUGUUCGGAUUCACUGGGCGUAAAGGGUGCGUAGGCGGUCGGGUAAGUCUGAUGUGAAAUCUCACAGCUUAACUGUGAAACUGCAUUGGAUACUAUCCGGCUCGAGGAAUGGAGGGGAGACUGGAAUACUUGGUGUAGCAGUGAAAUGCGUAGAUAUCAAGUGGAACACCAGUGGCGAAGGCGAGUCUCUGGACAUUCCCUGACGCUGAGGCACGAAAGCCAGGGGAGCAAACGGG